UCAGCCCACCCUCUUUGGAUGAUGGCCCUGGGGCGUGGGCAGGAGCAAGGGUCAUGGGUGAAGUUCAGGCAGGAAGGUCCUUGGCACCACUGCAGUGCACCUGUGACAAACCCUUCAGCACUCCCCAUGGGUAAAGGGGAGGGGCUCUCAGAUACUUUCCAGGCUCUCAUGUUCUCUCUCUGCUCAGCUCAAGCCCAGGCUGGGGGACAUUUAGGGGCAGCAUCUUCAGGAGACUCAGGUACCAGGAGUCUCAGGAAACAGCCUCAUCACCCACCAAAAGUCAACAGACUCUGUGAUAGCCCCUUCGAGGGGCCACCAGCUUCAUUUAGUCUUAGCUUGGCUCCCAACCUGAUGCCAGAGCCUGUGGCCUCUCCCUUUAGCACAUUUCACGGCCCUUUCCCAUUAGCACACUUCAAUGCUACUUUGUAUCCAGCCAAUGUUCUCCACCUAUAUCCGCGAAGAGUGUCCUCUGCUCUGGGUGUUUCAGCCCCGUCUCAUCCUUUUCCUCAUUUCAGCUGGACUCGUGGGCACACAUGACACUAAAAGCAAAUCUCAAAGAUGCAAACACGUGUCUUCAGAAAAGCCAGGAAGAAAGACAAGGCAGAAGUUUUCUUGGACCUGUUUGGUAGCUGAGGAAACAAGCCCCAGAGGCUGACGGGUCUGGCCGAGCUUACCUGGCAGACGAAGAAGAUGAGGUCCCGGACUAAGAUGGUUCAGUUUGCAAAGUGUUUGCCGUAAAGGUAUGAGGGCCUGAGUCUGUCUUCCCAAAGCCAGAGAGAUGUCUGCAAGAUGGCUUCGUGGAUAAAGGUUCUUGCACAAGUCAGGUGACCUGAGCUGGAUCUCCAGAAUCCACGCUCAGAUGGAAGGAGAAAACCUCCAACCUCCCAUACACACUCCUUACACACAACAAAGAAACAAAGAAGCAAAUGACUACACCUGAA